GCCACAUUAGACAUGAGGUGUUGCCUCUGUUGCCCUGCUGGGAGGGUUUACUUGAGCCACUUCAGACAGAUAUUUAUCUUACUCUCCAGAGAUAGAGAUUUUAUAGCUUGUGUACAAUAUGCGAUGGUUAGCCACUCUUUGUUGAGAGUAUGAGUGUAUAACAAAAAUAACCUUUAAAUAGUAGCUACAGUACCAAGAACUUCCAUUUAUUAG
rnacentral:lncRNA from 1 species